rnacentral:lncRNA from 1 species
ACAGAAUAAACCAGAAAUUCGGCAUCAACAAAAUAACAGAACGGUCAUUCAUUAAAUUAAUUAUAGGCAGCCUCAGUCUCAACAACAAUUUGCUACGUUAUUUUUGUCUGCCUAAUGAAAUAGGUUAGUUAAGUUUAAAAUAUAUUUUGGUCACAGCGUGCCAGAAACACUUCACAACCAUGAAGUCAUGUGCUGCAUUGAUACAGAAGAUUGCAGAUUAUCUUUCCACUACUAAGCAAGCUCUAACUUGAUAAAAUUGUGAAGUAAAUUCAAAGUUUAAUACUUCAUCCUCCCAAUAAUUUAUUCUCCGAGUCAUUAUUGCCCUGUACAAUUAUAAUUUCCAGAUUAUUCAGUGGUAUCCACAACCAUAGGCUUAAGAUCGGUAGGUAGUAUUCCCCAAUUUCAAGCACCAACAUAUUAAUUUAUGGAUUCUUUCCAAUAUGAGAAAACAAUGUUCCUAAUAUAUCAGUAGCAGGUUUGCACGGAUUAUAAAAAAUCCCAAACAGUAUAAUUCUCAUCUACAUGGCUUCCUAUGAAACCAAACAGUAUAAUUCUCAUCUACAUGGCUUCCUAUGAAACCAUCAAGUACUUUCCCGCAAGAAAAUCUAACUUUAUACAUCCAUAUGCCGAGAAAUUCAAACAAUUUAAAUUUGAUGUUCAAAAUUAAAACUGCAUUUCAAACAAUUAAAAUCUUGAACAUUUCCAGGACUUAGCUAGAAAAUAACAAUUCCCAAACCAGAUGGAACAUGCAAAACACAUUUCUCAAAUCCACUUAAACAAGGAAAUAAAGAAUCCAAGAUCAAUUUCUUAGAAUCACCAAAAAAUAAGCAAAAAAUUACAGACCUG